rnacentral:tRNA from 1 species
GCCCUAGUAGCUUAGUGACAAAGCAUCGGUUUUGUAACCCGAAGAACGAAGAAUAAGCCCUUCCUAGCGCC